rnacentral:snRNA from 1 species
GUGCUCGCUUUGGCAGCACAUAUACUAAAAUUGGAACGAUACAGAGAAGACUAGCAUGGCCCCUGCGCAAGGAUGACACAAAAA